rnacentral:rRNA from 1 species
UGCAAGUCGAACGGGCGGUAGCAAUACCGUCAGUGGCGGACGGGUGAGUAACACGUGGAUAACCUGCCUGACUCCCCGGGAUAACAGACCGAAAGGUCCGCUAAUACCGGGUAAGCUCACGGGGCCGCAUGGUCCUGGGAGAAAAGGUCCUGCAAGGGACUGGGGACAGAGGGGUCCGCGGCCCAUUAGCUAGUUGGGGGGGUAACGGCCCACCAAGGCGACGAUGGGUAGCCGGCCUGAGAGGGCGACCGGCCACACUGGGACUGAGACACGGCCCAGACUCCUACGGGAGGCAGCAGUCGGGAAUUUUGGGCAAUGGCCGAAAGGGCUGACCCAGCAACGCCGCGUGAGUGAAGAAGGCCUUCGGGUUGUAAAGCUCUGUUGCCCGGGAAGAACGGUAGCUUCAGGAAAUGGGAGUUACUUGACGGUACCGGGAGAGGAAGCUCCGGCUAACUACGUGCCAGCAGCCGCGGUAAUACGUAGGGAGCGAGCGUUGUCCGGAUUUAUUGGGCGUAAAGGGCGUGUAGGCGGCUUUUUAAGUCAGGGGUGAAACCCCGGGGCUCAACCCCGGGCCUGCCUCUGAAACUGGGAAGCUUGAGUGCUCUA